AACGAACGCUGGCGGCAUGCCUAACACAUGCAAGUCGAACGAGACCUUCGGGUCUAGUGGCGCACGGGUGCGUAACGCGUGGGAACCUGCCCUUAGGUUCGGAAUAACUCCCCGAAAGGGGUGCUAAUACCGGAUAAUGUCUUCGGACCAAAGAUUUAUCGCCUUUGGAUGGGCCCGCGUUGGAUUAGCUAGUUGGUAGGGUAAAAGCCUACCAAGGCGACGAUCCAUAGCUGGUCUGAGAGGAUGAUCAGCCACACUGGGACUGAGACACGGCCCAGACUCCUACGGGAGGCAGCAGGGGGGAAUAUGGGACAAUGGGCGAAGGCCUGAUCCAGCAAGGCCGCGGGAGUGAGGAAGGCCUUAGGGUUGUAAAGCUCUUUUACCCGGGAUGAUAAGGACAGUACCGGGAGAAUAAGCUCCGGCUAACUCCGU
rnacentral:rRNA from 1 species